AAGCUCGGGAUAGCUCAGCUGGUAGAGCAAUAAAAAAAUUCCUUCAGUCUUUUACCUGUUUUUCUUUUGAGAUAUUAAAAUUAAACGGUGCCGUAAAACAGAAUUACUUCGAUUCGGGUUCGGGUAGCGCAGGUUCGAUUCCUGCUCAGCUUU
rnacentral:tRNA from 1 species